GACAACACUCUAUCCAGACAGUACAACUUUGUUAGGCGCCAUGGAAAGCGUGAAUUUGGAAGGCUGAAACUUUUUGAAGUACUAUAUGGCAGCUUGAAAAAAAAUGCUCUUACCAGCCAAAUUACUCGAAAAGAGGCAGAAAAGGCAGCAUCCAAGUGGCUUAUUGGUGCCAGGGAUAGAGGAGGGAACCGCCUUGCAAGGACACAUUGUCAUGUCCAAGACAGGGCCAACGAAAUGGUGGCAGAGUAAAAAUACUGCACUGGGGUUUGCUGUGUUGUGGAAAAACAUGGGAAUUGUAAAUUUUUUUUAUUAAA